rnacentral:rRNA from 1 species
ACACCGCCCGUCGCUCCUACCGAUCGAGUGUUUAGGUGAAUUUGAUGGACGUAAGGAAGUCAAAUAAACCUGAGCACUUAGAGGAAGGAGAAGUCGUAACAAGGUUUCCGUAGGUGAACCUGCGGAAGGAUCAUUCCAUUAACGCGCAAUUCAUUGGUUCUCAACCUGCGUAAGCAGCGUAAAAAAGGUUUUUUAGCUUUGGAGGUGUCGGGUACUGAUCCGAGGAAGGACGCAGUUACACGCGAUAUUCAGCCUGAAUCGCAAAACUGCGGAUGGUCGGGUGUCUGAAUGCUCAAAGCCGGAGCUACUGGUCACGCUUUAAUACACCCCUUCGGUGUCUCACUUCCGUGUGAUGUGAGAAUUCAAAAAUAUUUUCACGUGACCACUAGCGGGGCAUGUAGUUAAUUUAAGCUUAUAAGUUAAUACACAAAGAAACUAAAUAGGAUGGACCGAGUAGUGGCGAAUGAAAAGUCCAAAGACCGAUCCGAAUUCAAGUUGUGGAUCCUACACUUCGGAAGACUCCAAACCAUCUGGAACGAUGGGCCGUAGAGAGUGAUAGCCUCUUUAGAGUCGGAAGAAGCG